AUGGUGGAUUUGCUGCUUUCCAAGUUUUUUGUUGGGCACGACUGUGCAAGUCAACGAUCGCGGCGGCGCCGAUGGUGCUCCAACCAUGGUGAACGCGCGAUGGAACCAGCCGGGCCGGAGCUGCAAUGGCCUGGUUCCCGAGCUAUGGACGCGGCGUGCGGUGACUGCAAGCUUCAGCAGAAGGGUGGCAGGGGGCUGGAUGAUGGUGCUGCAACCAGUAGCGGUGCAAGGGGACGGGGUGCUGCCGCCCCUCGAUGGAGCGCACAUGCAUGGGACCGAGAGCAGAGAUGCUCACGGGGAACAGGAAGGAGGGGAUUUCCUGCUCACGUUGACCAAAGCGAGAGGAAGGAGAUGAUUCGGUGA
rnacentral:rRNA from 1 species